rnacentral:rRNA from 1 species
GAUUAACGCUAGCGGCAGGCCUAAUACAUGCAAGUUGUACGGGAUUAUUGGUAGCAAUACUGAUAUGAGAGUAGCGCACGGGUGCGUAACACGUAUGCAACCUACCUUUAACUGGGGAAUAGCUCACCGAAAGGUGAAUUAACACCGCAUAAAAUCACAGAAGGACAUCCUUUAAUGAUUAAAUCUCCGGAGGUUAAAGAUGGGCAUGCGUCCGAUUAGCUAGNGGCGGGGUAAUAGCCCACCAAGGCAACGAUCGGUAGGGGUCUGAGAGGAUGAUCCCCCACACUGGUACUGAGACACGGACCAGACUCCUACGGGAGGCAGCAGUAAGGAAUAUUGGACAAUGGGGGCGAA